CGCCAGACUCCUACGGGAGGCAGCAGUGGGGAAUAUUGCACAAUGGGGGAAACCCUGAUGCAGCGACGCCGCGUGAGCGAUGAAGUCUUUCGGUAUGUAAAGCUGUAUCAGCAGGGAAGAAGAUGACGGUACCUGACUAAGAAGCCCCGGCUAACUACGUGCCAGCAGCCGCGGUAAUACGUAGGGGGCAAGCGUUAUCCGGAUUUACUGGGUGUAAAGGGAGCGUAGACGGCGAUGCAAGCCAGAUGUGAAAGCCCGGGGCUCAACCCCGGGACUGCAUUUGGAACUGUGUGGCUGGAGUGUCGGAGAGGCAGGCGGAAUUCCUAGUGUAGCUGUGAAAUGCGUAGAUAUUAGGAGGCACACCAGUGGCGAAGGCGGCCUGCUGGACGAUGACUGACGUUGAGGCUCGAAAGUAUGGGGAGCACACAGGAUUAGAUACCCGAGUAU
rnacentral:rRNA from 1 species